AUUAAUUAGCCCUGUAAUGGGAUGGGAUCUGAAGCCUCCUGAAGAUUCCAUCCAUCUUCUAUUCCAACACGUUCACGUCGUGCAGGGUGGUAACAUGGACCCAAGUCCAUCCAUUCGGCUGGAUGAAGGCUCAUGGCUAAGGAGGAGGGG
rnacentral:ribozyme from 1 species